rnacentral:rRNA from 1 species
UGAUCCUUGCUCAGAACGAACGCUGGCGGCAGGCUUAACACAUGCAAGUCGAGCGCCCCGCAAGGGGAGCGGCAGACGGGUGAGUAACGCGUGGGAAUCUACCCAUCUCUACGGAACAACUCCGGGAAACUGGAGCUAAUACCGUAUACGUCCUUAUGGAGAAAGAUUUAUCGGAGAUGGAUGAGCCCGCGUUGGAUUAGCUAGUUGGUGGGGUAAUGGCCUACCAAGGCGACGAUCCAUAGCUGGUCUGAGAGGAUGAUCAGCCACACUGGGACUGAGACACGGCCCAGACUCCUACGGGAGGCAGCAGUGGGGAAUAUUGGACAAUGGGCGCAAGCCUGAUCCAGCCAUGCCGCGUGAGUGAUGAAGGCCCUAGGGUUGUAAAGCUCUUUCAACGGUGAAGAUAAUGACGGUAACCGUAGAAGAAGCCCCGGCUAACUUCGUGCCAGCAGCCGCGGUAAUACGAAGGGGGCUAGCGUUGUUCGGAAUUACUGGGCGUAAAGCGCACGUAGGCGGAUACUUAAGUCAGGGGUGAAAUCCCGGGGCUCAACCCCGGAACUGCCUUUGAUACUGGGUAUCUGGAGUCCGGAAGAGGUGAGUGGAAUUCCGAGUGCCGACCUGCCAUUCGUAGAUAUUCGGAGGAACACCAGUGGCGAAGGCGGCUCACUGGUCCGGUAAUGACGCUGAGGUGCGAAANCNUG